rnacentral:tRNA from 1 species
ACUCCGGUAUUACUCGAGCGGUCACGGCGUCUGGCUACGAACCAGAAGAUUCCAGGUUCAAGUCCUGGCGGGGAA